ensembl:snoRNA SNORA70 Small nucleolar RNA SNORA70
CUGAAGCCAAUUAAACCAACUAUGUUCCUUUCCUUAUGGGAACGCAGUAUGAAAUGAUUGCAAACAGCAGCCUCUUUGGGAAUGUUACCUUUAUGGGUUGCCCUAAGGGACCUUAGAGACAAUU